rnacentral:lncRNA from 1 species
GAACUAAUAAACUAGAGAACAUUGCAAAUACAUCCCUUGUAAUGAAACACGCAUGACAGUCAUGUCAUUAAAAGGCGCCAUUAAAUACUCUCCUCAAACGUAGAAUAAUUCAUGUGCAGAACCAAAUCCGUAAGAGUUGGCUAAGGGCCGCUAAACUAGAACCCUUUCAGGAAAUACUUACCUGUGACUGCCACUGAAAUUAACUGGAAAUCAAGAGCCAAGAUAGAUUACUUUUCAGCCUCAGAAUAUCGUGAAUUAUAGGUUUUUCUAGGAAACUACCUCGAGGUAGACAAAAACAGUCUGAAAUUAACUGGAAAUCAAGAGCCAAGAUAGAUUACUUUUCAGCCUCAGAAUAUCGUGAAUUAUAGGUUUUUCUAGGAAACUACCUCGAGGUAGACAAAAACAGUCUCGAUUCAGAAGCAUCGCCAGGAGCCGAGAGUGCUCCCACUUAUCUGCCAGGACCCGAGAGUGCUCCCACUUAUCUGCCAGCAGCCGAGAGUGCUCCCACUUAGCAGAGUUGGCUGUUGCAGCUACUUGUCAAAAGUAUCGCAGUUGACUAUGCAUAGUGCUACAAGGCUAUCUUCAUUAGACUGAACUGAUUGGUUGGGUUUUUUUGUUGUUGUUUUUAAGUUAUUCAUAAGAAGAACAGGAAUUAUAUGACACAUUGUAUUACUGACUUACGUAUGGUGAAGGAAUAGUUUUCAAUCCUUUAUGGUCAUUUGAAUUAAACAAUUUGUAUCUCUGG